GACGAACGCUGGCGGCGUGCUUAACACAUGCAAGUCGAACGGAAAGGCCCUGCUUUUGUGGGGUGCUCGAGUGGCGAACGGGUGAGUAACACGUGAGUAACCUGCCCUUGACUUCGGGAUAACUUCAGGAAACUGGGGCUAAUACCGGAUAGGAGCUCCUGCUGCAUGGUGGGGGUUGGAAAGUUUCGGCGGUUGGGGAUGGACUCGCGGCUUAUCAGCUUGUUGGUGGGGUAGUGGCUUACCAAGGCUUUGACGGGUAGCCGGCCUGAGAGGGUGACCGGCCACAUUGGGACUGAGAUACGGCCCAGACUCCUACGGGAGGCAGCAGUGGGGAAUAUUGCACAAUGGGCGGAAGCCUGAUGCAGCAACGCCGCGUGCGGGAUGACGGCCUUCGGGUUGUAAACCGCUUUCGCCUGUGACGAAGCGUGAGUGACGGUAAUGGGUAAAGAAGCACCGGCUAACUACGUG
rnacentral:rRNA from 1 species